CUCGAUAGUUGGAGCGAGAGGAACAUCUGCAGGUAAACUCUUCUCUCUUCUUCUCUCUUCUUCUCCUCUGUUCACGUGUACUUGUUUCUUCUCCUCUGUUCUUUUCUCUCUUCUUCUUCUCUCUUCUUCUCUCUUCUUCUUCUCUCUUCUUCUCCUAUGUUCCAAAAAUUGUGAAAGUUCUGAUAAAAUCCCUCUAACCCAUCUUUCUUCUUUACCCACUGAAGAAUUGCUGUGGAAAACUAGGGUACUGACCACCGAAGGCCAUCUUCCUCCUUCCCUUUCACUCUGAGCAUACUCCUCUCUUCAAUAACCUCCACCACCGAAGGCCAAUCAUCAAGAUCUCACGGCACUACUCAGCUGCCAACAUUCCAAAAUGAGUGAAAGGACUGCCAUCGCUGCAAGCCCUUGCGGUUUUCUUCUUUAACUUGAGCACCUGAGGACGAGUAGAGGGAAGCGUAGGUCUUCUUCGUCAGGCAUUUGCGUCGAGGAUCGUUUGCUUCAUCUUUUCCAGCCAUUUCUCUUCAAAAUAUCCCUACUGUUAAGUGGUCAGAACUUGAGACCAAUGUUUUCAUUGAGGCAAUGAAAGAAGUUGUAAAAAAGGGUCACAAAUCCGGUAAUUCAUUUAAUAAAACUGGAUGGGAGGCCAUUACAAAGCAAUUUCAGAUAGCUUUAAAUCAUACAGCUGGGAGAAAACAAUUACGCAACAAGAUGAACAAGUUGAAAUACGAGUACCAGCAAUUCAAGAGACGGCUUGACACAACUGGAUUUGGGUGGAACUCAAUGAC